GUCUAGCUCAGUCGCGUGAGCUUGUACCCAAGUGGAGGCAAUAAUGUGAUUGGACAUUGGGCUAGCUUGUUUAUCUGGGUCAUAGUUGGAGGUUCACAGGCCUGCCCGGUCCAAGUGGGGAGUUGGGUCAUGUGGCUCGGGCGGAGGCUCGGACCGCUUGGCUCCUAGAGUGGAGGGCAACGCGCUAGGCUGGCUUCACAGAGCAGCGAAAACUUCCCUGUCUCUACAGUGGAAGGAUUACAGGCUGGUUGCAUUCUUGUCCCACUAAAAGCUAAAUGGGCUAGCCCAAAUUGGACAAUCACUUUU
rnacentral:SRP_RNA from 1 species